AUAUGGGUACUACAGAGUCAAAUAAAGUAUUGCAGCCACCGACUGCCUAAAAGGGAGUUGCCUUUUUACAGAGAGACCUUUAUUAAAAUUACGGCAAGGGCCAGAAAGUUUUUUCUUGCGUCAUAGCACCGUUGGGCGCUGGAGGUGCCCCGCAAUCCAUGGACUUCUAAUUUCCGUUCAUUGUUAGAUUCAGUACUCUGCAGUAACGUCUCAAAAAAAAUCCAAGAAGCAUGACCCCAUCCUUGCACAAGAUGACGCCGAAAUGGCAUGUAGUACCAGCCUUGGAGUGCGGGCCGAGGAACUUCACUGUGGACUGAGGGUUGUGUAAUAGUUUCAGGCACGAAAUCAUUUUAGAAGCGUGGGAUGAAUUCCUACAGAACCGUCCCCUCCUUCUGUAUUUUAUCGAAGAACUCGCAAGGCUUCUCAGGUUGCAGCUCGAUUCCUAUGAAGCUAUUUUUGCUCUUUGCCCGAGCCCAUUGGUCUUGACACAGCAUCGCUAGAGUCACCCGCUCCGCUCCUGGACAAAAGACCUUUGAGAGCGAAUUCUGCAGAGAGAGUCUCUCUGAAAACACACCUCAGAAUUGUCCAGUUCUGUCCCAGACACACGACAACACUGGAGCAGAGGUCAGGACGUCUCCAGGUGUUCCUGGGCUUUGGGUGAUCAUUUCAGAGAGGCUGGGGAGGACAGCCACAGGUUAAUGAACGCAAAAGAGUGAAAAGCCCCUGGUGAAACUGAUCUGACAAGAGCUUUCUUCUCUGAGCAAGGACGACGCUAUCUUUUGUCCCUUCAUAUACGAAGGGCCUUUUUUGUGCCAGAGCCUGUCCGAGGCCCUUAAGGUCUAGAGAGAGAAGACCUCCAUUAUCUCAAGCUUUCCAAAGUAUCCUUCCUGAUCCGAUGCCACAAUUCUCUGGGGCCAAAAUGCAAAAUGAAGUCACCACGAAGCUGCCGUUGACUCACCACGGGACCCUGGUUUCCAGGUCGGUGUCACUUCCAGUUCCAAACUGGACUAUUUUCCAUCAGGGGGUGUAAACGGCCCUUAGGUCUCAGCUUCCUCCCCUCCCCCACCAGAUGU
rnacentral:lncRNA from 1 species